rnacentral:rRNA from 1 species
UCCUACGGGAGGCAGCAGUGAGGAAUAUUCCACAAUGGGCGAAAGCCUGAUGGAGCGACGCCGCGUGAGGGAAGAAGCCUUUCGGGGUGUAAACCUCUUUUUUAUGGGAUGACACGCUCUCCUAGCCUAUCCUAGCAAUAGGGUAGGGGGAGGGGGAGCUAGGACAGUACCAUAAGAAUAAGCCUCGGCUAACUACGUGCCAGCAGCCGCGGUAAUACGUAGGAGGCGAGCGUUGUCCGGAUUUACUGGGCGUAAAGAGCGCGCAGGCGGCACACCAAGUACGGAGUGAAAUCUCCCUGCUCAACGGGGAGUGGUCUUUGUAAACUGGUGAGCUAGAGGACGGUAGAGGGGGGUAGAACUGCUGGUGUAGCGGUGAAAUGCGUAGAGAUCAGCAAGAAUACCCGUGGCGAAGGCGGCCCCCUGGGCCGAACCUGACGCUGAGGCGCGAAGGCUGGGGGAGCGAACGGGAUUAGAUACCCCGGUAGUCCCAGCAGUAAACGAUGUCAACUGGUUGUUGGGUCUUCACUGACUCAGUAACGAAGCUAACGCGUGAAGUUGACCGCCUGGGGAGUACGGCCGCAAGGUUGAAACUCAAAAGAAUUGACGGGGACCCGCACAAGCGGUGGAUGAUGUGGUUUAAUUCGAUGCAACGCGAAAAACCUUACCCACCUUUGACAUGUAUGGAAUCCUUUAGAGAUAGAGGAGUGCUCGAAAGAGAGCCAUAACACAGGUGCUGCAUGGCUGUCGUCAGCUCGUGUCGUGAGAUGUUGGGUUAAGUCCCGCAACGAGCGCAACCCUUGUCAUUAGUUGCUACAUUUAGUUGGGCACUCUAAUGAGACUGCCGGUGACAAACCGGAGGAAGGUGGGGAUGACGUCAAGUCCUCAUGGCCCUUAUAGGUGGGGCUACACACGUCAUACAAUGGCUGGUACAAAGGGUUGCCAACCCGCGAGGGGGAGCUAAUCCCAUAAAGCCAGUCGUAGUCCGGAUCGCAGUCUGCAACUCGACUGCGUGAAGUCGGAAUCGCUAGUAAUCGUGGAUCAGAAUGU